ACCUUGAGUUGAGCUUUUCAACGAUUAUCGUUGUAAAAUUCAAUCUUUACUUGAAUUUUCAACCAAUUAUCGUCGUAAUGAACAUGUGGCGACGUUAGAAGUUCAUGAAAGUGCAUUGUGCAAACAAGUGCAAGAAGCUGCAGGCAAUUUCAACAUUUAUUGACUGUUUUACGACGGGGACUGGGGACCGAUAUUAAACGUAUUAAACCUCCAGAGGGAAUGCUAUUCAUACAUAUAUUAGACAAGGACAUUCCUGAAUGCUUUGACUACCCACGGGCCACUGAUCCAUACAAGAUGCUUUGGGAGGCGCUUUCAGUGGUUAUUACGUCGCGUCAUGCAACUAAUUAAAAAAAUUACUGUGAAAAAACAAAGCAAAUAAAAAAAUAUAUUCUAAAUUUUAUUUAAAUUUGUUUUAUUUAUGAUUUAUAGAAAAGAAAUAAACCAAAAGAAAAUUCAACCAAAAAAAAAAUUUCAGCUAAGAAAAAUCAACUAAAUUGAUUCAACUAAGCAAAAUUAAACAGAAAAAAAAUUCAGUCCACUAAAUUCAACUU